CAACAGGGAUUGCCUUAGUAACUGCGAGUGAAGCGGCAAAAGCUCAAAUUUGAAAACCGGCAACACCAGCCGGCAGUGUAAUUUGAAGGGACAUCUUCGGAGCUGGCGCCGUCUUAAGUUCUUUGGAACCGGACAUCAUANAGGGUGAGAAUCCCGUGCCUGGGUGGCUGUCCCGCUCCGUGUGAAGUGUCUCCGACGAGUCGAGUUGUUUGGGAAUGCAGCUCAAAAUGGGUGGUAAAUUUCAUCUAAAGCUAAAUAUUGGCGAGAGACCGAUAGCGCACAAGUAGAGUGAUCGAAAGAUGAAAAGCACUUUGAAAAGAGAGUUAAAUAGUACGUGAAAUUGUUGAAAGGGAAGCGCUUGAGACUAGAUUCAGCCGGCGGUGAUCAGCUAUGCUUCUGCGUGGUGCACUUGCCGUCGGUUGANCCAGCAUCNGUUUUGAUGGCGGGAUAAANGUUUGAAGAAUGUGGCUCCCCGUUUCGGGGAAUGUUAUACCUCCAACGUUAUGCCGCCUGUUNGGAACGAAGACCCCCCUCCGCUANGANGCUNGCCAAAAAGUCU
rnacentral:rRNA from 1 species